CCCUUAGAUGUUCUGGGCCGCACGCGCGCUACACUGAUUCAUGCAACAAGUUUUGUCCUUGGCUGAUAGGCCUGGGUAAUCUUUGAACGUGAAUCGUGAUGGGGAUAGAUGAUUGCAAUUAUUCAUCUUCAACGAGGAAUUCCUAGUAAACGCAAGUCAUCAGCUUGCAUUGAUUACGUCCCUGCCCUUUGUACACACCGCCCGUCGCACCUACCGAUUGAAUGGUCCGGUGAAAUCUUCGGAUCUGAGAGAUGUCUGAUUAAUUUCGGACGCCUUUUGGAAAAGUUGUUUAAUCCUUACCAUUUAGAGGAAGGUGAAGUCGUAACA
rnacentral:rRNA from 1 species